AUUGAACGCUGGCGGCAGGCCUAACACAUGCAAGUCGAACGGUAACAGGAAACAGCUUGCUGUUUCGCUGACGAGUGGCGGACGGGUGAGUAAUGUCUGGGAAACUGCCUGAUGGAGGGGGAUAACUACUGGAAACGGUAGCUAAUACCGCAUAACGUCGCAAGACCAAAGAGGGGGACCUUCGGGCCUCUUGCCAUCGGAUGUGCCCAGAUGGGAUUAGCUAGUAGGUGGGGUAACGGCUCACCUAGGCGACGAUCCCUAGCUGGUCUGAGGGGAUGACCAGCCACUCUGGAACUGAGACACGGUCCAGACUCCUACGGGAGGCAGCAGUGGGGAAUAUUGCACAAUGGGCGCAAGCCUAAUGCAGCCAUGCCGCGUGUAUGAAGAAGGCCUUCGGGUUGUAAAGUACUUUCAGCGGGGAGGAAGGGAGUAAAGUUAAUACCUUUGCUCAUUGACGUUACCCGCAGAAGAAGCACCGGCUAACUCCGUGCCAGCCGCCGCAGUAA
rnacentral:rRNA from 1 species